UGCUGAGCGCAUGCGUAUACAUGCAGUCGUAACAGGUACCACAAUGAUCGGUGCUUGCACCGAGAUUCAACAUGGAACGAGUGGCGGACGGGUGAGUAACACGUGGGUAACCUGCCCUUAAGUGGGGGAUAACAUUUGGAAACAGAUGCUAAUACCGCAUAGAUCCAAGAACCGCAUGGUUCUUGGCUGAAAGAUGGCGUAAGCUAUCGCUUUUGGAUGGACCCGCGGCGUAUUAGCUAGUUGGUGAGGUAAUGGCUCACCAAGGCGAUGAUACGUAGCCGAACUGAGAGGUUGAUCGGCCACAUUGGGACUGAGACACGGCCCAAACUCCUACGGGAGGCAGCAGUAGGGAAUCUUCCACAAUGGACGCAAGUCUGAUGGAGCAACGCCGCGUGAGUGAAGAAGGCUUUCGGGUCGUAAAACUCUGUUGUUGGAGAAGAAUGGUCGGCAGAGUAACUGUUGUCGGCGUGACGGUAUCCAACCAGAAAGCCACGGCUAACUACGUGCCAGCAGCCGCGGUAAUACGUAGGUGGCAAGCGUUAUCCGGAUUUAUUGGGCGUAAAGCGAGCGCAGGCGGUUUUUUAAGUCUGAUGUGAAAGCCCUCGGCUUAACCGAGGAAGCGCAUCGGAAACUGGGAAACUUGAGUGCAGAAGAGGACAGUGGAACUCCAUGUGUAGCGGUGAAAUGCGUAGAUAUAUGGAAGAACACCAGUGGCGAAGGCGGCUGUCUGGUCUGUAACUGACGCUGAGGCUCGAAAGCAUGGGUAGCGAACAGGAUUAGAUACCCUGGUAGUCCAUGCCGUAAACGAUGAAUGCUAGGUGUUGGAGGGUUUCCGCUCCUUCAGUGCCGCAGCUAACGCAUUAAGCAUUCCGCCUGGGGAGUACGACCGCAAGGUUGCAACUCAAAGGAAUUGACGGGGGCCCGCACAAGCGGUGGAGCAUGUGGUUUAAUUCUAAAGCAACGCGCAGAACCUUACCAGGUCCUGACAUCUUUUGAUCAUCUGAGAGAUCCGGAUUUCCCCUUCGGGGGCAAAAUGUACAGGUGGUGCAUGGGUGUCGUCAGCUCCUGUCCUGAAAAUGUUGGGUUAAGUCCCGCAACGAGCGCACCCCUUAUGACUAGUUGCCAGCCUUUAAUGUGGGCCCUCUAGAAGAACUGCCGGUGAACAAACCGCAGGAAGGUGGGGAUAACCCAAAUUUCUGCCCCUUUUUAACUGGGGUCCACCAUUUCCAUUGGAGGGAAACAAUUUCGG
rnacentral:rRNA from 1 species